rnacentral:lncRNA from 1 species
CUGCCACCUCCGAUUCCGAGCUUUCGGCACCUCUGCCGGGUGGUACCGAGCCUUCCCGGCGCCCCCUCCUCUCCUCCCACCGGCCUGCCCUUCCCCGCGGGACUAUCGCCCCCACGUUUCCCUCAGCCCUUUUCUCUCCCGGCCGAGCCGCGGCGGCAGCAGCAGCAGCAGCAGCAGCAGGAGGAGGAGCCCGGUGGCGGCGGUGGCCGGGGAGCCCAUGGCGUACAGUCAAGGAGGCGGCAAAAAAAAAGUCUGCUACUACUACGACGGUGAUAUUGGAAAUUAUUAUUAUGGACAGGGUCAUCCCAUGAAGCCUCAUAGAAUCCGCAUGACCCAUAACUUGCUGUUAAAUUAUGGCUUAUACAGAAAAAUGGAAAUAUAUGCCCCAUAAAGCCACUGCCGAAGAAAUGACAAAAUAUCACAGUGAUGAGUAUAUCAAAUUUCUACGGUCAAUAAGACCAGAUAACAUGUCUGAGUAUAGUAAGCAGAUGCAGAGAUUUAAUGUUGGAGAAGAUUGUCCAGUGUUUGAUGGACUCUUUGAGUUUUGUCAGCUCUCAACUGGCGGUUCAGUUGCUGGAGCUGUGAAGUUAAACCGACAACAGACUGAUAUGGCUGUUAAUUGGGCUGGAGGAUUACAUCAUGCUAAGAAAUCAGAAGCAUCAGGAUUCUGUUACGUUAAUGAUAUUGUGCUUGCCAUCCUUGAAUUACUAAAGUAUCAUCAGAGAGUCUUAUAUAUUGAUAUAGAUAUUCAUCAUGGUGAUGGUGUUGAAGAAGCUUUUUAUACAACAGAUCGUGUAAUGACGGUAUCAUUCCAUAAAUAUGGGGAAUACUUUCCUGGCACAGGAGACUUGAGGGAUAUUGGUGCUGGAAAAGGCAAAUACUAUGCUGUCAAUUUUCCAAUGAGAGAUGGUAUAGAUGAUGAGUCAUAUGGGCAGAUAUUUAAGCCUAUUAUCUCAAAGGUGAUGGAGAUGUAUCAACCUAGUGCUGUGGUAUUACAGUGUGGUGCAGACUCAUUAUCUGGUGAUAGACUGGGUUGUUUCAAUCUAACAGUCAAAGGUCAUGCUAAAUGUGUAGAAGUUGUAAAAACUUUUAACUUACCAUUACUGAUGCUUGGAGGAGGUGGCUACACAAUCCGUAAUGUUGCUCGAUGUUGGACAUAUGAGACUGCAGUUGCCCUUGAUUGUGAGAUUCCCAAUGAGUUGCCAUAUAAUGAUUACUUUGAGUAUUUUGGACCAGACUUCAAACUGCAUAUUAGUCCUUCAAACAUGACAAACCAGAACACUCCAGAAUAUAUGGAAAAGAUAAAACAGCGUUUGUUUGAAAAUUUGCGCAUGUUACCUCAUGCACCUGGUGUCCAGAUGCAAGCUAUUCCAGAAGAUGCUGUUCAUGAAGACAGUGGAGAUGAAGAUGGAGAAGAUCCAGACAAGAGAAUUUCUAUUCGAGCAUCAGACAAGCGGAUAGCUUGUGAUGAAGAAUUCUCAGAUUCUGAGGAUGAAGGAGAAGGAGGUCGAAGAAAUGUGGCUGAUCAUAAG